rnacentral:tRNA from 1 species
AAAGUUUUAGUAUAAUUGAUUAUAUUUCAUUGUCAAUGAAAAGAUAUAUAACUUUG